rnacentral:lncRNA from 1 species
CCCUUCUUCAUUCAUCCAUUUAGGCCCGACUAGGAACACGUGGAUCCAGGGAACCUGGCUCGGGAACAGCUUCUUACUAGUGGGGGCUAAUCACAGUAAGAGAGUCCAAUCUCUGAAAUAGAGCUUAGUCUCUCCAUAGUAGUAACAUAUUAAUUGAAACUAAUGCGACGGUUGUCAAAGACCGGAUCUUUGCACUUCGCGACCCUAUCCGAGUAUGGACUUAGUGCAACGCCUUAUAGAACAAUGAAGUAAUGUAUCCAUACGAGCUCCGGCCCUCAGCAGCUCGAAUACAAAAUAAACUUGUUCAUUUAUGUUACCUGUUGUGGACCUUCAACGUUUCACCUUUCAUAGAUCUGGGAAAGGCGGUUUAGGUUUGGGAAGUGACGUCGAGACUGGGCACGUGCGAUAAGUAAUAAAGA